GACCCCCCGUCAGCGGG
rnacentral:rRNA from 1 species